UUCCGGUUGAUCCCGCCGGACCCCACUGCUAUCGAGAUGGGACUAAGGUAUGCUAGUCGAACGACCAGAACUAUGUCUGGAAGUGGCACACUGCUCAGUAACACGUAGCUAACCUACCCUUAGGACGUGGAUACCCCCGAGAAAUUGGGGUUAAUCCGCGAUAGAUGUAAUGUCCUGGAAUGGUAUUACGUCUAAAGGUAUUUCAUACAUGUUUGAAAUAUGCCUAAGGAUGGGGCUGCGGCCGAUCAGGCUGUUGGUGAGGUAAUGGCUCACCAAACCUUUGACCGGUACGGGCCAUGAGAGUGGUAGCCCGGAGAUGGACACUGAGACAAGGGUCCAGGCCCUAAGGGGCGCAGCAACCGCGAAACCUCCACAAUGCACUCACGUGCGAUGGGGCUAUCUCGAGUGCCACCUGAUGAAGGUGGCUUUUCCUUGGUCUUCAAAGCCUUGGGAAUAAGAGGGGGGCAAGACUGGUGUCAGCCGCCGCGGUAACACCAGCCCCUCGAGUGGUGGGGAUGAUUAUUUGGCCUAAAGCGUCCGUAGCCGGCCGUGAAAGUCUUCCGUUAAAUCCAGCGUCUCAAGCGUUGGACCGCGGGAGAUACUACAUGGCUAGAGAGUGGGAGAGGUCAGCGGUAUUCUGGGGGUAGGGGCGAAAUCCUUUGAUCCCCGGAGGACCACCAGUGGCGAAGGCUGCUGACUAGAACACGUCUGACGGUCAGGGACGAAAGCUGGGGUAGCGAACCGGAUUAGAUACCCGGGUAGUCCCAGCCGUAAACGAUGCAUGCUAGGUGUUGGGGUUGGCCACG
rnacentral:rRNA from 1 species